CCUACGGGGGGCAGCAGUGGGGAAUUUUCCGCAAUGGGCGAAAGCCUGACGGAGCAAUACCGCGUGAGGGAUGAAUGCCUAUGGGUUGUAAACCUCUUUUUUCAAGGAGGAAUAAAAUGACGUGUACUUGAAGAAUAAGCAUCGGCUAACUCCGUGCCAGCAGCCGCGGUAAGACGGGGGAUGCAAGUGUUAUCCGGAAUCACUGGGCGUAAAGCGUCUGUAGGUGGUUAAAUAAGUCAACUGUUAAAUCUUGAGGCUCAACCUCAAAAUCGCAGUCGAAACUGUUUGACUAGAGUAUAGUAGGGGUAAAGGGAAUUUCCAGUGGAGCGGUGAAAUGCGUAGAGAUUGGAAAGAACACCAAUGGCGAAGGCACUUUACUGGGCUAUUACUAACACUGAGAGACGAAAGCUAGGGUAGCAAAUGGGAUUAGAUACCCGGGUAGUC
rnacentral:rRNA from 1 species